rnacentral:rRNA from 1 species
UACAGAGGGUGCAAGCGUUUGUUCGGAAUUACUGGGCGUAAAAGCGCGUGUAGGCGGCGAUGUAAGUCGGAUGUGAAAGCCCUUGGCUUAACCAAGGAAGUGCAUCCGAUACUGCUUCGCUUGAGUAUCGGAGGGGAUGGCGGAAUUCCCGGUGUAGAGGUGAAAUUCGUAGAUAUCGGGAGGAACACCUGUGGCGAAGGCGGCC